UGGAUCCAGACUUUGAUCAUGGCUCAGGAUGAACGCUAGCUACAGGCUUAACACAUGCAAGUCGAGGGGCAGCAUGACGAUAGCUUGCUAUUGUUGAUGGCGACCGGCGCACGGGUGAGUUACGCGUAUCCAACCUGCCCUUGUCCAUCGGAUAACCCGUCGAAAGGCGGCCUAACACGAUAUGCAGUCCACAGAAGGCACCUGACGCGGACGAAAUGUAAAGGAGAAGGAUGGGGAUGCGUCUGAUUAGCUUGUUGGCGGGGUAACGGCCCACCAAGGCGACGAUCAGUAGGGGUUCUGAGAGGAAGGUCCCCCACAUUGGAACUGAGACACGGUCCAAACUCCUACGGGAGGCAGCAGUGAGGAAUAUUGGUCAAUGGGCGAGAGCCUGAACCAGCCAAGUAGCGUGCAGGAAGACGGCCCUAUGGGUUGUAAACUGCUUUUAUGCGGGGAUAAAGUGAGCCACGUGUGGCUUAUUGCAGGUACCGCAUGAAUAGGGACCGGCUAAUUCCGUGCCAGCAGCCGCGGUAAUACGGAAGGUCCGGGCGUUAUCCGGAUUUAUUGGGUUUAAAGGGAGCGUAGGCCGUCUGGUAAGCGUGUUGUGAAAUGUCGGGGCUCAACCUGGGCAUUGCAGCGCGAACUGUCAGACUUGAGUGCGCGGGAAGUAGGCGGAGUUCGUCGUGUAGCGGUGAAAUGCUUAGAUAUGACGAAGAACUCCGAUUGCGAAGGCAGCCUGCUGUAGCGCAACUGACGCUGAAGCUCGAAAGCGUGGGUAUCGAACAGGAUUAGAUACCCUGGUAGUCCACGCGGUAAACGAUGGAUGCUCGCUGUUUGCGUCUGACGUAAGCGGCCAAGCGAAAGCGUUAAGCAUCCCACCUGGGGAGUACGCCGGCAACGGUGCAACUCAAAGGAAUUGACGGA
rnacentral:rRNA from 2 species